AAAGACAUCUUUGUUGCUCUAAUUUUAUUCGGGGGGGACCUAUAAUCGCUGACCUAAACCGCCCGGCGAGGAAUUAACAARUAACAUACUCAUUAAAGAGGACUGGUCCAGUUUAUGGCGAGGGCGAGACCAUACAAAGGACCAUCAGUCAUCAGCUUGGAGUUAGAUCCCUUUYGUCGAUGAUGAUGAGAAGAUGACAGAUGAUGGUGGUACCUGAUCCCACUGCGAGGUCGYGCUUCUUCCCUYUAUUCAUUAAAYGAGCAAGAAGGCRUGUCUCAUGAAACCAWGGGUWACAAGAGACAUCACCAACMAACCACAGAUAAUAAAUACAGGUCCCAAGUGCACUGCCUCAAUGAUGAAUAUGAAACUGCAAUUCCUCAACUAAUAGCUUUUAUCUCAGCUGGCAAAAUUUCAAUGGUAUUUUGCCAUGACCAGAAUUUAAAGCCAAAGUGCCGUUAUGUGUGACUUUGAUUCAGACAGUGAGAGGAAAUAGCAUAAAAAUCUUAACCCACACCAGCUCACCCARUGCUAAAAGUAUUAAAAAUCUAKCUCCUUCACUGUCUACAGAWAAAAUAUUUUAUUGAAUUUUCACCACUGGCAAAGRACAUAGAGGACACUAGUCUACCCUGCUAUACUUUCCCAACAUAUGAAUAUUACAUGCCGCAAAGCUGCAAAGAAAUAGCAAACAAUGUUAAAACCUAAAAGAUGUGAUCCCUCUUCGUUAUAAUAAAAUUAAUUACAUUAAAAAAAUAAAUAAAAACCCUAUGUCCCCCUGCCAGUGGAUUAUGCCAAGAUAAAAGCUCCUAAAAUCAGUUGUAUUUAUUCAUUUGAAACCCAGAAAAAAAAAUGAAAAUAAAAAAAACUGAAAAAAUGAACUGAAGGGAAGGGAGAAGAAAGAAAUUAAGAACAAAUAAGGAAAAUUGAAACCUGGCAUGUAGUUUUAGCCAUGCUACAUGUA